AGCGAACGCUGGCGGCAGGCUUAGCACAUGCAAGUCGAACGCCCCGCAAGGGGAGUGGCAGACGGGUGAGUAACACGUGGGAACGUACCCUUUGGUUCGGAAUAACUUGGGGAAACUCAAGUUAAUACCGGAUAAGCCCUUAUGGGGAAAGGUUUACUGCCGAAGGAUCGGCCCGCGUCUGAUUAGCUAGUUGGUGAGGUAAUGGCUCACCAAGGCGACGAUCAGUAGCUGGUCUGAGAGGAUGAUCAGCAACACUGGGACUGAGACAAGGCCCAGACUCCUACGGGAGGCAGCAGUGGGGAAUAUUGGACAAUGGGGGCAACCCUGAUCCAGCCAUGCCGCGUGAGUGAUGAAGGCCUUAGGGUUGUAAAGCUCUUUUACCCGGUACGAUAAUGACUGUACCGGGAGAAUAAGCCCCGGCUAACUUCGUGCCAGCCGCCGCCGUAA
rnacentral:rRNA from 1 species